CGGAUAUUCCUUUUUACAUGGAUAACUGUGGUAAUUCUAGAGCUAAUACAUGAACAAGUGGUUCAACCUCAGCUUGCUGACGGAAGAAUCGCAUUUAUUAGUACAAGACCAAUGAUUCUUAUUCACCUAGAACCCUGUCCAGUGAUUUCGGUCGUUGGAAGAAGGACUAGCAGUGGGGAUCUACGCACUUUUCGAAGUGCAAAGCUCAAGAUGACUCUGAAUAACUGAGCAAAUCGUAUGGCCUCUGAGCCGACGAUGUAUCCCUCAAGCAACUGCCUUAUCAACUGUCGAUGGUAGGUUAUGCGCCUACCAUGGUUGUAACGGGUAACGGGGAAUUAGGGUUCGAUUCCGGAGAGGGAGCCUGAGAAACGGCUACCACAUCUAAGGAAGGCAGCAGGCGCGCAAAUUACACAAUCCCAGUACGGGGAUGUAGUGACGAAAAAUAACAAUACGGGACUCUAUUGAGGCCCCGUAAUUGGAAUGAGUACAAUUUAAAUCCUUUAACGAGGAUCUAUUGGAGGGCAAGUCUGGUGCCAGCAGCCGCGGUAAUUCCAGCUCCAAUAGCGUAUAUUAAAGUUGCUGCGGUUAAAAAGCUCGUAGUUGGAUUUCAGUCGAACCUAUGGGGUCCACUGAUUAAAGGGUUGGACGGUGAUGCUUGGUAACUUGUUAUUGUCUACGGACUUUGACUUGUACUGACAUCCCUCUUUCCUGGUGGCUACAUUCAUAGUGUUUAGACAGAAAAUUGCUCGAUAUUUGCUAUCAAUGCUCUUUACCGAGUGUUGAUUCAAGCGAUCGAGACUUUUACCUUGAAAAACUCAGAGUGCUCAAAGCAGGCGUCCCAAACCUCGAAAGAGGUGCCUAAAAACGGUAUGGUCAACCAUCUAUAUGAUGCGCACCAUUACCUUAACUUGAAUGAUCUUGCAUGGAAUAAUGGAAUAGGACCUUGGUUCUAUUUUGUUGGUCUUAAGAAUCCAAGGUAAUGAUUAAGAGGGACAGACGGGGGCAUUUGUAUUGCGGCGCUAGAGGUGAAAUUCUUGGACCGUCGCAAGACAAACUACAGCGAAAGCAUUUGCCAAGAAUGUUUUCAUUAAUCAAGAACGAAAGUUAGAGGUUCGAAGGCGAUCAGAUACCGCCCUAGUUCUAACCAUAAACGAUGCCAACCAGCGAUCAUUCUGAGUAAUUUAUUUCAUGACUCGAAUGGAAGCUUCCGGGAAACCAAAGUUUUUGGGUUCCGGGGGAAGUAUGGUUGCAAAGCUGAAACUUAAAGGAAUUGACGGAAGGGCACCACCAGGAGUGGAGCUUGCGGCUUAAUUUGACUCAACACGGGAAAACUCACCCGGCCCGGACACUGAGAGGAUUGACAGAUUGAGAGCUCUUUCUUGAUUCAGUGGGUGGUGGUGCAUGGCCGUUCUUAGUUGGUGGAGUGAUUUGUCUGGUUAAUUCCGAUAACGAACGAGACUCUAGCCUACUAAAUAGACUUGCAGUUUACACUGCAACACUCCCCCUUAGUCAACCUGUAGGUGGUAGUAUCUCUUGGUAGUUUCGGCUGCUAAGGGCUCUGUUAUCAUUAGCCUGCAGAAUUGGCUAGGGUAAGGAUGUUGUAGCACUGUAAGGACUUCUUAGAGGGACAAGCGGCGCUCGCAGCCGCACGAAACAGAGCAAUAACAGGUCUGUGAUGCCCUUAGAUGUCCGGGGCCGCACGCGUGCUACACUGAAGUGGUCAUCGUGCAUAUUGUUUCCUGCUCCGAAAGGAGUGGGUAACCGCUUGAACCCAUUUCGUGAUGGGGAUUGGGCAUUGUAAUUAUUGCCCAUGAACGAGGAAUUCCCAGUAAGCGUGAGUCAUUAGCUUGCGUUGAUUACG
rnacentral:rRNA from 1 species